rnacentral:rRNA from 1 species
CCUGGUUGAUCCUGCCAGUAGUCAUAUGCUUGUCUCAAAGAUUAAGCCAUGCAUGUGUAAGCACACACUGUUUUAAAAGUGAAGCCGCGAAUGGCUCAUUACAACAGCCACAGUUUAUUAGAACUUACAAUCAUGGAUAACUGUGGUAAUUCUAGAGCUAAUACACGCACAAAAACUUCAACUGAAUUGGUUGAAGUGCUUUUAUUAGAACAAAAACCGAACGGCGUUUGACGAAUGUUGAACGUCGAAACUGUUUGGUGAAUCUGAAUAACUAUUUCUGAUCGCAUGGUCUAGCACCGGCGACAUCACUUUCAAGUGUCUGCCUUAUCAACCUUCGAUGGUAGUCUAUGCGACUACCAUGGUGAUAACGGGUAACGGAGAAUCAGGGUUCGACUCCGGAGAGGGAGCCUGAGAAACGGCUACCACAUCCAAGGAAGGCAGCAGGCGCGCAAAUUACCCACUCCCAGCUUGGGGAGGUAGUGACGAAAAAUAACGAGACGAUUCUCGUUUGAGAAACGUUAUCGAAAUGAGUACGCUUUACACACGCUAACGAGUAGCAAUUGGAGGGCAAGUCUGGUGCCAGCAGCCGCGGUAAUUCCAGCUCCAAUAGCGUAUAUUAAAGUUGCUGCGGUUAAAACGCUCGUAGUUGAAUUGUGGUCUUAGACAACAGUCCCCCUACAAAGGUGUGGCACGGUUGCUCGAGAUCUUCAUUCGUGGUUGCUGUUGUUGCUCUUCAUUGAGUGUCAAUGGUGCCUCGAGAUUUUACUUUGAAAAAAUUAGAGUGCUCAAAGCAGGUUGUGAUGCCUGAAUAAUGGUGCAUGGAAUAAUAGAAUACGAUCUCGGUUCUAUUUUGUUGGUUUUCGAACCGGAGAUAAUGAUUGAAAGGAACAGACGGGGGCAUUCGUAUUGCUGCGUUAGAGGUGAAAUUCUUGGAUCGCAGCAAGAUGAACAAUUGCGAAAGCAUUUGCCAAGAAUGUUUUCAUUAAUCAAGAACGAAAGUUAGAGGUUCGAAGGCGAUCAGAUACCGCCCUAGUUCUAACGGUAAACUAUGCCAACCAGCGAUUCGCCGAAGUUCAUUUGUUGAAUGAAUUGUUGACGUAUUGUGAAACAUUGUUGCACCAUGAAUUUGGGGCAAAAUAUGCGAAUUGCAUUGAUGAUGAAAUUAAAGUUUUAAUCGACAAGCACGCCAAACUUAUGGAACAGUAUGAAAAUUUCCAAGAAGAAAAGGGUCGUCUGUUUGAAAUACGUCACAUUUGCGACGUUUUGAACGCGCGACUGUUUGAGUUGUAUGAAUCUGUGAAAGAAGCAAGAAGAGAAAAGUUCCACGCGGGUGUUCGUACUCCGGUGAACAAAGAGCCAAGGGUAUUGCAAAGCUGCAACGUUCUCCAACUGAAACGUUGGAAAGAAGGCAGC